rnacentral:rRNA from 1 species
UGGUGGAGUGAUUUGUCUGGUUAAUUCCGUUAACGAACGAGACCUCCGCGUGCUAAAUAGUUCCGCUUACAAUUUUUUGUAGGUAGUGGACUUCUUAGAGGGACUUUUGGGUAAUCAAACCAAAGGAAGUUGGAGGCAAUAACA